AAAUUGAAGAGUUUGAUCAUGGCUCAGAUUGAACGCUGGCGGCAGGCCUAACACAUGCAAGUCGAACGGUAACAGGAAGCAGCUUGCUGCUUCGCUGACGAGUGGCGGACGGGUGAGUAAUGCCUGGGAAACUGCCUGAUGGAGGGGGAUAACUACUGGAAACGGUGGCUAAUACCGCAUAACGUCGCAAGACCAAAGAGGGGGACCUUCGGGCCUCUUGCCAUCAGAUGUGCCCAGAUGGGAUUAGCUUGUUGGUGAGGUAACGGCUCACCAAGGCGACGAUCCCUAGCUGGUCUGAGAGGAUGACCAGCCACACUGGAACUGAGACACGGUCCAGACUCCUACGGGAGGCAGCAGUGGGGAAUAUUGCACAAUGGGCGCAAGCCUGAUGCAGCCAUGCCGCGUGUAUGAAGAAGGCCUUCGGGUUGUAAAGUACUUUCAGCGGGGAGGAAGGUGUUGUGGUUAAUAACC
rnacentral:rRNA from 1 species